UGUGCAUCGAACUGCUUUCCCUGAUUUCUAUCAGUCUUUGCUCCAUGGCAUGAACGUCGGAAGCAAAAUGAUGGGUUCCUGUGCUGUGUACCUAUCGUGAUGGAAAUUGGUUCCCUCUUUUGGCCCCUUUCUUCCAUGCGUCCUCUUGGAUUCUUGGUUGGACUAAGAUAGAAGGGCUCGUUCUCCACGGACGUCUCACGAGACUUGUUGCGAUGGAAAUCGAGUGCCUUCUCGUUCUUUGGGAUGUGGAAAUUUCCUCACGGGCGUGGGCCAGUGGCCCUCGGACCCCAAUGUUGAAGCGUUGAUCGCUUAAAAUGGGAAUGACGCUCUCACCUUGUCCUUGACCACGUGGAGCUCUUGGGCUACCAUGAUGGAUCUUGCUCGGUGGACGUCGUGAAGGAAUGC
rnacentral:misc_RNA from 1 species